rnacentral:misc_RNA from 1 species
GAUGAUUUCUAUGAUCAUAGAGAUAUUUGGUGUGGGCAUAUUCAUUUGAUCUGGCUAAUGCAUUAAGUGUCAUAUAGAUACAUACCAUGGUUUGCUGAGUUGAUAGAGUGUUAAGAUUAUAUAGGCUGUUAUGAUGAUGAUAUACAUGGCAUGGACAAAGCACUAUUGCUGAAGUUUUAAACUAAACAGAUAAUGUGUGGAGGAGUAGGCUGAUAAUUAGAGAUAAGUAUCCUAUCAGUGUCAUAGUAUUGAUAGUCCAUAUGAAGAGAAAUUGCUGGUAUUGCUAGUUUCUUUUCCACUGUUCAUUACGCAUGCUUUGUCAUUAUCAGGCCAUGGUGGCACUUAAAUUGUCAUUUGUCACAUAGCUGAUAGUAGGUCUGUUCUGGGAUAUGCUCUAAAAUAUUACAGUCCUGUAAUGUUUUUGUAUUGGAAAGGUGUUCAAUUCAAAUGUUAGUUAUUGCAGGAAAAUUUAACUACGGUUUGGUUCUAAGUUUUUCCUUUUUGAUUCUUAAAAAUUGCUGUUUAUAUUUUUAAUUUUGCUUAAAGUCAAAAGUAAUAAUCAAAAAUUGGUAGGGAGUGGUGUUUGGAGGUGGAGGUGGUGGUGAUUGAGGAGGUUGGGUCACUUUGGAUUGUGG